CAGUAGGGAAUCUUCCACAAUGGGCGAAAGCCUGAUGGAGCAACGCCGCGUGUGUGAUGAAGGGUUUCGGCUCGUAAAACACUGUUGUAAGAGAAGAAUGACAUUGAGAGUAACUGUUCAAUGUGUGACGGUAUCUUACCAGAAAGGAACGGCUAAAUACGUGCCCG
rnacentral:rRNA from 1 species